CACUACGUGGUCUCCGCUACAUAGAUCAAACUCUAUCAUAAUAUUCUAUCCAAGACCAUUGUUUUUAACACACACAUGUACAUCAAUAUUUCACACUGAUAUUUCCUGUGACAUUUAGUGGUCCACAAGAAAAAAAGUUAAUAGUAGCAUGAUUCUCCAAACAACGCUAAUCAGUAGAUCGAUGUUACAAAAAGAGUCCACCAAAGUUGUCCUAAUUUAUCCAGAAUUAGAAAAAAAGUGCACUGUCAAAUUAAAGUUUGAAAACCAAAAUGUAAGAGAAAAGAAUUACAUAUAUGGUAAGAAAACUCUAAGGCUUUAUAGUUAUAAGUUAUAACCACCCCCUCACUGUACUCAAUAAACCUAUCCCUCACGUGUAACACCCAAGUGAAAAUCAUAAAGGAAUAAGGCAAUAAAACUAUGCAGAGAAUUAAUGAAUUCAAAAUAAUCCACAAUCCAAGAGUUCAUCAAAAUAAACCUAAUUGCUUUAUGUUGCACAAUCCAACCAAUCAUCGAGCAAAAUGUUCACGACAAUCAUCUAGGAAUAUUCCAUAUGACGUCUACAAGAAACUUAUGAAGAAACCCAAAAAAAUAAAAUCGUAAUAUAUACAAAGAAACAUGACAAAUUAAUAGUCAUAGUAGAGAUCACCCGAUGAAGUACAACAACAACAAUAACUAAUUGCAGCCUCUUGUGUCAUUUAGGCCCCCCUUUUGCCAAGUUCUUGCACCAGUUGCAGAUUCUGUGAGGAUACCCAUAUGGGAGAGGUGAUUUUUAGUUUCAUAACCUCUCUCCCCUGAAACACCAAGCAGAAUGUCUACGACGCCUACAUGGAACUCACAAAGAAAUCGAGAAAACAUGACCUUAAUAUAUACAAAGAAACAUGAAAAACUAAUAAUAGUCAUAGUAGAGAUCACCAGAUGAAAGUACAGCAACAACCAAUUUCAGACUCUUGUGCUCAAUUAGGCUCCCCUUAUGCCAACCAAGUUCUUGCACCAAUUGCAGAUUCGCUGAGGGAUACCCAUAUGGGAGAGAAGAUUUUUAAUUUCAUCUUAUAUAUCACAUAUGACAAGAAUAAAAAUGAAAAAAGAAAAAAGAAAUUAUAACAAAGGAAAUGGCAAAUCAACAAAAUUAAAAAAUUCCUUAUCCUCGGGAUAGAGAUGUUCCCUAAAAUCCGGAAUGGUUUCUUGUAUGCCUCCAACUAAAACAUGACGCACCAUUAGAGGACAAAUAUCCCAAAUACCAAAACAAAUAGACCAUAUGUGACCAAAAAAUAGAAUGUUCUUUCCCAAAGCUAUAGACAGAAAGAAUGUGAACCUUGACUGCAGAUAUAAUCAGGUUCCAUAGGUUAUCUCCUGUGUAAUAUCCAAACACAGAGACUAAGGACAUGACAAAAGUAGAUGUUGCGUAUCAAAAUCAAACAAAGAUCGAAAGGAGAAGAGUAUUGAUUUUGUGUAGCUUAAUCGAGAUUGGAAGAGAAUUGUGCAGCAAAAGCUUCUAAUUCUGAGAAUUGUGCUAAUUCCAAUUUUAAUUUACCCGCUACUUGUUUCAUGGCUUUUAUUUGAUCCGCCGAUCCAACUCUGGAAUCGGAAAUACCCACAUUAAUUACAGGUCUGAUCCCAGCAUUGAAUAAAUCGGCAUAUAAGAAUAUUUGACCAUCUGUAAUAGAAAUGACAUUAGUAGGAAUAUAAGUUGAAACAUCUCCGGAUUGGGUCUCAACUAUUGGUAAAGCAGUCAUACUUCCUUCACCUAACUAAGAACUUAGUAGAGAUGACCAAACUAGAGUGUAGCAGCAGAGAGAGUACAUAGCCCACCAAACUAGAGUGUAGCAACAGAGAGAGUACAUAGCCCACAAAGUAUGAGGAUUCAUAGGGAACAAAUUCCGCCCAACUCAAGAGAUCAUGUAAUGAUAAUUUUGGUUUCAUCCUAAUAGAAAGUCUUUGGCCACUGCAACAGAGAGGAUAUCUUUUAGGAGUAUGUAUCAUAAUCAUCUUAAAUCACAAAUAAAAACCAUAACAGAAGAAUAUAGAAAACCUAUCCAGAAAAAGUUAAGUUCUCCCCAUCCAACCAACCAUCAUAACAAACAAAACAUCUUAUAAAAAAUUCCUCAACUUGGAAGUGGAAAAGUAAUCCCAUAAAUCUUGUAUGUUAAGCCAGACUAUAACUCAGUUCCUAGUAUAGAAACGCACAAAAGCUUCACUGCCCGAAGAACUGCAAAAACUUAGACACAAGCAUGUAAGUAAAAAAAAACGCAGAUCCUCAAAAGAAGAUCUCCAUGCCUACACUUUGAGAACAGCAAUCAACACAAGAAAACAAGAACAAAAAAACUGAAAUCAAAGCACAGCAAGAAAUGUGAAAUUAAUGGCAUCUACUAACUGAGAAAAGGUAUCAAUACAAAAAUCCCUAACAACCUCGUUCAUAGCAGCCGGUCCAAGAAAUCAAGAACAACAAAACCUGAAAUCAAGCCUUCGUAGAGCAAUUAACUCGCCAACUCAUCAGGUAAUCAAGAAAAGAGACAAAGUAUGGCACAAGAACGAGAACAAGCAAACUAUGGAAUCAAGAAAUCAAAACCAUACCCUCUCCUGCAACCACCAAAGGCUCCAAGGAGGAGAAAAACAGGUUCACUAUUCAAUGAAGAAAUCUGAAACUAUUUCUCGUUCUUAGGUUAUCUCCUGUGUAACAUCCAAACACAAGAGACUAAGGAUUUGACAAAAGUAGAUGUUGCGUAUCAAAAUCAAACAAAGAUUGAAAUGAGAAGAGUUUUAGUAGAGAUGGCCAAACUAGAGUGUAGCAACAGAGAGAGUACAUAGCCCACAAAAUUCCAUUCAACUCGAGGGAUCAUGUAAUGAUAAUUUUGGUUUCAUCCUAAUAGAUAAGUCUUUGGGCCACUGCAACAGAGAGGAUAUAUUUUUAGGAGUAUGUAUCAUAAUCAUCUUAAAUCACAAAUAAAAACAUCAUAACAUAUGAUUAUAGAAAACCCAUCCAGAAAAGUUAAGUUCUCCCCAACCAACCAAUCAUCAUAACAAACAACAGAUCUUGUAAAAAAUUCUUUAACAUGGAAGGGGAAAAGUAUCCCAUAAUCUUGUUUGUUAAGCCAGACUAUAACUCAGUUCCUAGUAUAGAAACGCACAAAAGCUUAUAGAAAACAGAAACCACCAGCAUGUAAGUAAAAAAAUCCCUAGGAUGAAUGAGAAAGUGUGAAAAUCUAAGCAAGUGUCUUUGUCACCAAGUUAAGUAGUUCACACCGCAGAAGAACUCAUCAUCUCCAAUAUCUCCAAAUUCAGACUGCAAACACUCAACACCCCGCAGAAGAACUCAUCUCCAAUAUCUCCAAAUUCAGACUGCAAACACUCAACACCAAAUGAAUCAACGGCAAAUGAUACAUUUACUCAUAUAUUUUACAGUGUCAUGUCCAUUGUAUCAAGAUUCGGAGAAAAAAUUUGAUUUAUCUACGGGAGAAAAAAUUUGAUUUACUUAUAUAUCAAGAACUCUUAACUCACUGCAUAACGGGAGAAAAAUAAUUGUUGUCUCAAUUAAAACAAAAAUUGAAAUGUUAAGUAUCUUAUUAGUAGAGAUGACCAAAUUAAAGCAUACAACACAGCCUGCAGAACAUGCUGGUUCUUUGGAACAGAUGCCUAUCCAAUUUGCAGGAUCUUGUCCUCAUCUGAAAAAUUAUAAUUAAGCUUCCACUUAAAACCAGGCGAUAUUGAUUUAGGAGUACAAGUCAUAAAUCACAACUAACAAUCAAAACAUAAACAAUAAAAGAAUAUCGUCACUCCCUUGCCAAUGUGUCCCCAACAAACAGAUUGUCAAAGCAAAUAACACCAACCAAGAUGUCCAUUUCUCUUUAGAACUACCUUUUUUGAGUUCUCUAAUUCUCUUUCCACAAAAGUAACAGCUGCUUGCAUCUUCUCGUAGAUUUCAAUAUCACUAUUCACUAGUCUUUCGCACUUUCAACCAAUUUUUCUGAUCAUCAGACCGCUUGAGGAAGAACACCAUUUGAAGGUGUUAAUCCAAGUAGUCCACAAAGCAAAGUCUGAAAUGUUCUAUUCAUAACAAAAAGUUAGGUAUGAUUAUAUUAGUGAUGAUGAGUUUCAUAAUUGGUAUAUAACGAUAGAUACCAUGAAUCGGAGUAAGAAUAUGUCAUAAUGAUAUGCAGAAGGUUUCUUGAGAUUGAAUUUUUUUUGUUGUGCCAUCCCAGAAGCAACACUAUGAUCAAAGAAGUAAAGUCCUGCUACUAUCAACGCAGGAAUAAAAGCAGAAAAAAACCUAUGCUGGAGAAACCUUCCCCAUGUCAUGUGUCAUGUGUUACAAUCUAUUAUUAGUUGAUUUAGUCAUUUUUGAAAGAAAAACCAAACUAGGCUUUAUUUCAACGUGAAUUACUUUGAUAACUGUCCAAUGGUGUAAAGAUGUAGGGGACAUUUUUAACCCAAUCAAAAAGGCUCAUGUAACAAUAAAAGGCUCACCAGAAAUGUGCAAACUUUUUUACUGUCAAAUUAUAGACCAAAAACCAAAAUUUAUAUCAUACACUUUUGUGGGAAAAAAGUAGUAUUUACGGUAAUAACCUCCAAGUGAAAAUCAUAAAAGAGUAAAUCAGGAAGAGGUGCAAUAAAAAUUGAAACAAAAUAAACCUGGGGACUGAUUCUACACAAUGUUAUUGUUUCAAAACACAACUCUGCAGAAGAAGAAAAAAAGAGUCAUUUCAGUUGAUAUGUAUGGCGAUGAAUACCAGAAGCGAAUACAACACAUGAAGACCGAACAACUGAAAAUAAAACAAACUACGUGUGUUCACAAAAUUACAUUUCCUGCAACACCAGAGAAAAUAAUAAAUUAAGAAAAAUGAUUUCAACAGCGAGAAAGAAUUGUUGUAAACCAGACAAUUUUUGAGAAAAUAAUAAAUUAAGAAAAAUGAUUUCAACAGCGAGAAAGAAUUGUUGUAAACCAGACAAUUUUUAAAGAAAUCAUCAAAUCAAAACUCAGAGGCUCGACUAUAUUGAAAGAUAGUUAUUAUUUAACAAUAGUUGAAAACUAGAAGGAGUUUAAAAGAAAUCACCAAAACAAACUCAGAAGCUCCACUCUAUAAUGAAAGAUAGAGAUUAUUUUGGCAAACCACUGCAGAAAAACAAGUUCACAAUUCGAUUUGUAUGUAAUGUGAUCAAAGCCAGAAAAUAAAAAUGAUAUA
rnacentral:lncRNA from 1 species